AUUGAACGCUGGCGGCAUGCCUUACACAUGCAAGUCGAACGGCAGCACGGGUGCUUGCACCUGGUGGCGAGUGGCGAACGGGUGAGUAAUACAUCGGAACAUGUCCUGUAGUGGGGGAUAGCCCGGCGAAAGCCGGAUUAAUACCGCAUACGAUCCACGGAUGAAAGCGGGGGACCUUCGGGCCUCGCGCUAUAGGGUUGGCCGAUGGCUGAUUAGCUAGUUGGUGGGGUAAAGGCCUACCAAGGCGACGAUCAGUAGCUGGUCUGAGAGGACGACCAGCCACACUGGGACUGAGACACGGCCCAGACUCCUACGGGAGGCAGCAGUGGGGAAUUUUGGACAAUGGGCGAAAGCCUGAUCCAGCAAUGCCGCGUGUGGGAAGAAGGCCUUCGGGUUGUAAAGCACUUUUGUCCGGAAAGAAAUCCUUGGCUCUAAUACAGUCGGGGGAUGACGGUACCGGAAGAAUAAGCACCGGCUAACUACGUG
rnacentral:rRNA from 1 species